UGUAAGCCCCGCCCCUGAUAUCAUAACUGGUAGUUUUGUAACAACAGGAAGAGUUCAGGGACUAACAUUGAAAGAAGCACAAAUAUACCUGCAACGGACGAGGUUUUCUCGCUCAUACAGUGAAGCUGGUUACAAUGGUCUGACUACUAAUAGACGCUAGCACCUACGUGGUUAGGAAGAUCAGGGCUUUCAUCGCACGGGGGGAGCACCCGGAAAAGCCCAUUGUUACACCAUGUAGUGCUAUUGCUGAAAGGAGUGCAGGAGAUGAGUUGAGAGGAAAUAACCCAGUGGCACCACUGAUGUCAGGACCUGAUGAAGGUGUCAGUGGAGCUACAGGCUUGGGGAAAUCCUCAGAGACAGCUGUGCAGAAAUGUGGCUCCUGACAUUAAAUAUCACACUAGACACUGGUACUGUGGUCAUCUGUAUGGAAAACAUAAUUAGUCCUCUUUGUAUUUUUGCAACACAAGACAAUAAUAUACCCACAGAUGGUGUUCAACAUUAAUUCUAAACCCAGUGUCCAUGCUGCACUCAGGGAUCACUGUCCACCUGUUAAUGUACAGUUAGGCCUUUUUCAUAGUGGACAUUUCGACUUAUCAUUAAAAACACACACAAAACAGGUGUAAUGAAUAACAUUAAUGAUGUUCCAUAUAGGUUUGUUAGUGAAUUAACAUGCGCAAAACUUCAGGAACCUGGUUCAGCUGAAUGUAAUGCAGAUAUCUAAAUAUUAUUUUAAUUACUCAACAUGUUUUCUAUGAGAAAGGCUUAUAUUUAUUUACUGUAUAUGCUGCAGUGUUUGAAGGCUGACUCACCAACCUCUCUCUAGGGGCUGAAGAGACCUGAUGUUUCUGCUGCUGUAUCAAUAAAUAAAGAAAGAAAUUGCUA